GACGAACGCUGGCGGCGUGCUUAACACAUGCCAGUCGAACGGAAAGGCCCUGCUUUUGUGGGGUGCUCGAGUGGCGAACGGGUGAGUAUCACGUGAGUAACCUGCCCUUGACUUUGGGAUAACUUCAGGAAACUGGGGCUAAUACCGGAUAGGAGCUCCUGCUGCAUGGUGGGGGUUGGAAAGUUUCGGCGGUUGGGGAUGGACUCGCGGCUUAUCAGCUUGUUGGUGGGGUAGUGGCUUACCAAGGCUUUGACGGGUAGCCGGCCUGAGAGGGUGACCGGCCACAUUGGGACUGAGAUACGGCCCAGACUCCUACGGGAGGCAGCAGUGGGGAAUAUUGCACAAUGGGCGGAAGCCUGAUGCAGCAACGCCGCGUGCGGGAUGACGGCCUUCGGGUUGUAAACCGCUUUCGCCUGUGACGAAGCGUGAGUGACGGUAAUGGGUAAAGAAGCACCGGCUAACUACGUG
rnacentral:rRNA from 1 species